AGGCAGAACCAGGAUUUCAAGACAAGGUCUGGGCUCCCCAAGGAGCUGGACAUAGAGUUCAGGGACCAGAUCUCAUCUGCAGAGGAAACAAGAUAUGUGACCACACUUGAGCUCAGCAGCUGCUCAGGCUGAUCAAUGAGAAAAGAAGGCACCUCCCGACCAUUGGUCCUUCUAGGCCAGUGUCCGUCUGCAGCCAGGCCUCCUGGGGGCUGGGAGCCAGUGCCAUGGCUCCUGCUCAGGGAGCUGCAGUCCAAAAAGGAGGGUCCCAGAAACUUUCAGGUAACCCGGUUACUAACUUCAGAAGCGUGUUGUCUUUGGCAACCCUUGUUGG